rnacentral:rRNA from 1 species
UACGUAGGUGGCGAGCGUUGUCCGGAAUUACUGGGUGUAAAGGGCGUGUAGGCGGGGAUGUAAGUCAGAUGUGAAAUUCCUGGGCUCAACCUGGGCGCUGCAUCUGAAACUAUGUCUCUCGAGUGCUGGAGAGGCAGGCGGAAUUCCGAGUGUAGCGGUGAAAUGCGUAGAUAUUCGGAGGAAUACCAGUUGCGAAGGCGGCUCUCUGGACUGUAACUGACACUGAGGCACGAAAGCGUGGGGAGCAAAC